UUGUUGUCGUGUGUUUGUAGAUUCAAUCUACAUCAUUUUGGUAUCAGAGCAUGGUGCGUGGGAGAGGACGUGGUGGUCGUGGUGGCCGUGGUGGCCAGAUUGAUGAAGUUGCAGAUCUGCGUAAUCAAGUUGAGGCGUUGACAAUCCGAUUUGAUCAAUUCAUGACGUGGGCGGCAGAGGUUGUGCAGAACGGAACACCUCCUGCUCUUCCACGUCGUGCCCCA
rnacentral:lncRNA from 1 species